GAUAUGUUAUGGCAAGCAUAGGUGCUAGAGGAUGCGGCCACACCCCUAGGCUUGAAGUGGUUUCCAUCAUAUACAGGGUUUACAGUUUGUUUCAAUGGUUCUCAGCACCCCCACUAUACAAAUUGUUACAGCUCCCCUGUAUAGAAGAG